rnacentral:rRNA from 1 species
AUGGACGGGCCUUGGGCGUGGGAGGAGCACAUGCCGGCGAUAGCGAAUCACGGGUAUUGGGCAUGGGGGGAGCACAUGGCGGCGGCGAUCGCGGGCGGCGACGAGAAAAAGAUGACAAUGCUUCGCCAUAUCUACAUGUGGUACAAGGAUGCGAAGGAGAUGCAUCGGGAUUCUCGCCUGGUGAUUCGAGAGGCUUUGAAGGAGGAACAAAUUCAUAUCAAGGGGAAGUCCCCACUCGAGAUCAUCUAUUGGGCGAUGAUGGAGGGGAAAUCCGAUGAUCUGGGGCGCGCAUGGUGGAAACCCUACGCGUCACGCGAUUGGGUUUUCUCCGCCCUAGACAGGGAUGAUUUGGGGGUGGUGAUCAUGACAGUGAGGUCGUCGCCACGCAGUCGGGCGAUGCCCGUCGUGACCGACGACGGCGUGCGGGUGGUGCCGAGGCAGAAGGUGGCCCGGGUGGUUUCACAACUGCCACGUCGCUCUCCUCGGUUCCCCCGACGUUCUGCACGGAUCCAGUCGCUUGCACGGAGCGUCGACGAUGAAUAG